CUUCUCGAUACCUCGAAAUGAAUUUCGAAGUGCAUCCCAUGCUUCUUUUGUGUUUGUAAUAGAAGCAAUCUUCUCAAAAUUUCCUUCAUCUACUGUAUGACAUAUUAGAUACAGGGCCUUCUGAUCUUUCUUCCUUGCUUCCUUGAGUGCUUCCUUUUUAGCUGUACUUAAUACGUCUUCAUCGGCUUUAGGCGUAGGUUCUGUAUAGCCUUUCUUCAUCAUUUCACAUAGGUCUUGGGAUGCAAAGAGCACCUUCAUUUGUAUGCUCCAAUUCUCAUAAUUCUCCUUUGUCAGCCUUGGUAGCUGUGGCUGGAAAAAACUAGAUAAGGAGGCCAUAUCAAAAUUGAAACAAAGAUUAUAUCAAUCUCUUUUAUUCUUUCUUGGCUCUGAUACCACUGAUGGGUAGAAAUUGUGAUAGAAUAUUACUUUUUCACUCAAAUAAACAAACUUUCAUAAAUCUCACACAUAUAUUUCAUACAAUAGAGUUAUUUUCUCUCAACAACUCUCUUAUACAAACAUAGAAUUUUCUCUUCUACCCGAUAGUUUAAACUACAUCCCAAUACACCUAUUUAUAGGCAAAACUAAGAAGUGUUCAAGAUGAUCAAGUAACUCCUUAACCUCCUUUAGUAGAAAAAGUCAAUUGAGGCAAGUAACCUUAUCCCAUAUCCUUUGAUAGAAGGAGAGUUCAAAUUGCUCAAGUAACUUUCACCUCCAUUAGAAGAAGAAUUCAAAAUGGUUACGUAACUUCUUUAAAAACUCUCGGCCAAUGACGAGCUUUUCCUUCACCGUCUUAAAUUCUUCUAUCCAAUAAAAUACUUUUCCUUAAUCAAGUAGAAUUUUGACUAAGUCAUAUCUUCAUCUCCAUAGCUUCUUAAUGAUUUUAAACUUCUUCGUAUUUCUAGAAUUUCAUUGGUUAAGUUUACACUACUUUCAACAGUAUCAACGUUACAAAGCAAGACAAGAAACUAAAGAAUUUUUUGUUUUACAAAAAGAAGGGAUUAUCGUUACUACUAAGAGACUUCCUUUAUAUUUUCUUAAAUUUAAUGCAAGAGUAAAAAUUUGACUUCAUAUCCUAUCGAAAAUCUAAUCUAUAAAUAAGUAUAGAACAAUCCUUCUGUGAAUAGGUACUUUUCAAAUACAUGGACAUAGAAGCAUCAAGGCUGGGGAAUCAGGAUGCUAUUGUGCAGCAAUUAUUAACAUGCUCAAUGACCCAAAGGAGGCAAAAGAAAAUAAACAUACUGAUCAAAGUUAUAUUCUUUCUUUCAUUUGUAUGUUAAGUUUGUGAAGCAAAACGAGUAGAAAUGAUGAUUAAUUAACUUCUGGUUAACUGUCCACAGGAACGUCUAAAUAUUAAGGAAAUGCACUUCCUUCCGUUCAAUCCUGUGGACAAAUAUACUGCAAUCACAUAAUUUGAUUCAGAUGGGAAAUGGUACCGGGCCAGCAAAGGAGCUCCUGAACAGGUACCACACACAGAUUCACUGAUAGCUUUGAUAUUCCUUUCUCUCGUAUGACUAAAUUGUUGAUAAGACCCAUCCUGAAUCACCCUAGUGCACCCGAAAAUUGACGUGCGCUGAUAAUAGAUGCUGACUAGAUAUCAAAUCUAUCACCAAGGCUGACUAUGAGUUACUACGAAAAUGAGCCAAAACCAAAUGCUAUGUAAAAUAUAAUGAGAUGGGCCCAAAUUAUUUACUUUAUGCCUCAUCAAUAUGAGUUUAUAACACUCAAUAUGUCGUGUGGCUCUCAUUCCGAAAUCAUUAGGCUUUUUCACUUGAAAAGAA
rnacentral:lncRNA from 1 species